AAAAACUGAAUUUGUGGGUUUUUUUUUCAACGUUUAACCGUCCGUCCGUCUUAUAUAAAUUCUUUUAUGAUUAGUAUUUUUAUUAUUGUUAGAUGAUAAAACAUGAAUAAUAUUUUAUGCAUGAUUUGUCUUUUUGAAUUUUUUCAUAUUUUUUUAAAUAAGACGAACGGUCAAAUGUUAGACAUGGAAACACAGGAAUUAAG
rnacentral:pre_miRNA from 1 species